rnacentral:lncRNA from 1 species
AAACCAAAGGCAGAUGCUAAAGCAGUGCAAAACUGUUCAUGUCACAAUGGAAACGGAGUUGAUGAAGGAGUCUGGGAAACGAAUCUUAGUCACAGCAAGAAAGGACAUAAGUGAACAUGGCAAGGUGCUGACAAUUCUGGUCUACUGGAUCCCACCAUCCCUAGGACAGUCACCACCCAGCAAGCUACAACUGCAUCAUUUCCUGUUUGUUCCAAAAUGAAUAAAGGUGAUUCUUAU